rnacentral:rRNA from 1 species
CAUGCAAGUCGAGCGGAAACGACAHYAWCRAUYCUUCGGRKGMKUUAAUGGGCGUCGAGCGGCGGACGGGUGAGUAAUGCCUAGGAAAUUGCCUUGAUGUGGGGGAUAACCAUUGGAAACGAUGGCUAAUACCGCAUAAUGCCUACGGGCCAAAGAGGGGGAUCUUCGGACCUCUCGCGUCAAGAUAUGCCUAGGUGGGAUUAGCUAGUUGGUGAGGUAAUGGCUCACCAAGGCGACGAUCCCUAGCUGGUCUGAGAGGAUGAUCAGCCACACUGGAACUGAGACACGGUCCAGACUCCUACGGGAGGCAGCAGUGGGGAAUAUUGCACAAUGGGCGAAAGCCUGAUGCAGCCAUGCCGCGUGUAUGAAGAAGGCCUUCGGGUUGUAAAGUACUUUCAGUUGUGAGGAAGGGGGURWCGUUAAUAGCKKYAYCUCUUGACGU